rnacentral:sRNA from 1 species
CUUAAUUUUUUUUCUUUCUUUUUUUGCCCAUCGGGGCUGUGGAUACCUGCUUAAUUUUUUUUUUCCCCAUUGCCCAUCGGGGUGGAUGGAAAUAUUGGUUUUGUGAGUUAUUGUACUACCUGGAAUAUCCAUAGCUCUUUUUCUUCUUCUUGCUGCUGAUCGUUUGGUGAUGUACGAAUGGACCUAUGGCUUAGAAAAAUGACUGUACUUAAGCUGAGUGGGUGUUCAGGGCGUGGAGAGCCCAUGUCCGCCAUCUUACAGUUGCUGCAUGACAUGGCUACUUGCUAGCCAAUUAUGGCAUGAAUUAGGGAGUCGAGGUAGACAGUGCACAGGACAGAGGCAAUCAUGUGUGCUGCACCAGCUUGGGGCUAUAUAUGUGUGGGUUUGGACUUAACGGUUUUGUGGCUUUUUAGUAAUCAUGGUAACUGGAAGCAGAAAACCAAGGAGGUCUUCUCUCGUUCGUGUGUGGUGCUGGGUGAAAGGAGCAAAGGAUGUCGGGGUAGGGCUCAAAAUGGACAUUUUGAUAUUUCUGGCUAUGUACAGUUCUAAGGGGUGCUUGUUAAGGUCUGUAAAAUGGCGGCACAGGCACAGUACCUGAGGCUCAGUUGCCCAACCUUUUUUCUAACAUGUGGCAUAGAGGAAGGGCAUUUAGAUUAUACAAAAGAUGGUGGCUCGUGCUUAUGGUGCGGUAUAAUGUUGCGGGGCUUUGCUUCUCACGUGGCAAUUUGGUGGUUGAGUUAGUCACAACGCGACAAACGCGCGUGACUAAAAUGGCGGUUUAUCAUGUGAUCAGCCCUCGAGGGGUUUUCUUUAGCACAGUCUUGGCGGGCUCGACCGCAUCUGGGCGGGUCUGACUCCAUCUUGGCGGGCUUUGUCUAGUACUGCGGACUUUGCCCAAGGUGAACUUAGUGCAUUAAAAGAUAACGAGUUUACCUUGUGUCACUUGAAGACCAUGUGGAUGUGUUGGUUGCCACUUGACUUAAUCACAAAAGGGCACUACUUUGGAAAUGUUGGUUGCCUCUUGACUUAACUAGUCAAAAAUGGGCGGUACUACUUGUGUAGAGAACGGAAGUAGGUUGUGAAGACUCACUGUCCUUCAAAGACUUGAGUUCCCUCAAGUCUGUCUUUAGUCAUCUUUUGAAGUGCCUAUCCGGGUGUGAGAGCACAUGAUUGUAAUUCUAAUUUGAGUGGUUGAAUGAUGACCCGAUUUGAGAGACUUCAGGCAUGAGGUUCCUGAGGUUGAGGUCGACGUGGGUUCCACGUUAAAACUGAACCUAUUAAAAGAAAGAAGAGAAUCAGUGAUGAAGUCAGGUUAAAGUAUCUACGGAGGAUGGUAUCUAAGGUCAUUUCAAACAGCUGGCCUAUCUACUUGCCCUCCUAUUUGUCGAAGUGGUCUUUUGCAGUCCUCUGUAUACGAUGGUACAAGUUAACCCUCACCCCAUUACUUUCUAUUGGUUCAGUGGCCUAAGACUUGUCUACUGACUGCCUCCCUUAUCUAGAGCCCGCACUGCGAUCUCAAGUAGUUCUCCAGUCCUGCUGCGGGCUUAGGGGUGACUUUGGCCAGAGUCAUAAUGGACCACAAAUAAAUCACUGGCCAAGAGGUGGAAUCCUCCUAACCUUCCUCUAGAGAAUCUUCUACCCCAUGUCUAAUGCUAGGGUUGAAUUUUGAUUUACAUGAAUGCUUUGGAUGUCAGCACUAAAUCUGAUAGGGCCGUUUGUUAGUGCUUGAAUUUAAAGCUGGAGUGAUUAUUAUAGAAAUAUAUUUAGGAGCCUUAUUUGCUUGUAGAAGUCAUUUUAAUUACUUUUAAUGAGGUUUUUUCUUCGGAGUCUUUUGAAGUAUUUGGUUUCUUUUAAAUUCAUUAACUUUUUUGGCAGAUAAUAAUACUGAAAGAAUUUGGCACUUAAAUCUACUUUCUUUAAAACUGAUCUAUUGAAUUACUCUUAAAGAGUGCUAUGACACAGAUAAUGUUAAUGUAACCUAAAUUAUGUGAUUAGAUAUCAAAAGGAGUAUUUGAAGAUCUCCACCAGUCCAGGCUUUGCUUUUGUUGCCAUCAUUGAUGACUAAGGACUUGACUGGUCAGGCAGGAGCCUGGAAUUGUAAUGCUCUGAUAUUGUCUAUCAGGCCUACUAUUAAAAUAUUAAUGCCCACAUUUCGACUUUGAAUUUCAUUUCCUGCCUUUAUAGCAUCCAGUUUCUCCUUAGACCCAGCAAACACUGCUGCCCCUGCCCCUGCCCCACCCAGCCCCUGCCCCAGCCCAACCCCAGCCCUGCCCCAGCCCCUGCCCCAGCCCCUGCCCAGCCCAGUCCUAGCCCCAGAUUCUUUCAGCCACAGCUCCAGUCCCCAAUCCUGUUCUCCUUAGAGACAUUCCAAUCUUCAUUGAUUGAAUGCUAAAAAUGUGGAGCCCAUUACUCAUUCUGGCAAACUGAGAUAACUUGUCUCUAUGCCCUCUAUGCUGACUGCCUAAGUCACGAUUUUCACUUAAUGCCCACAGCCCUACUUGUCCAUGCUUAGUAUUACAACAAAGAACUCUUGUCCCUCGUGUUAAUCACGAAACACCAAUUGAACAAGAGUUUCAGUUCAGAGAAUUGCCAUCAAGGCACCAUCUCCUAAAUCUCCUUUCUUUAAGGAAGGAAAAAUCAUUCUGUCAUUGCUGCAGUACUCACAGUCCCCAUUUUCUGAGCAGUGCUCAGCAGUUAUUUCUCAUACAGUUUUGAGCACUCUUUGCACUAAGUAAUUCUUAUUGUCCAUAAUUUAUCCAUUGGAUUAGACCCCAGCUGGUCCAGUCCCAUUUACAUUAGCAGAGGGGCAAACAUAAGUCUGUUAACAGACAAGUUAAUGUGCUCGGCCCCAAUUCUGAAGGCCUUGGCUAUUAAGGGGGCCACUAUAUUCUGUAUGCAUUCUGGCGUGGGUGCUAUCACCCCAGUUACAUAUGUUAAAUUGAUGAUGGAAAACUUCAUUUGUCCAUGAUAUUGUGAACUAGUCCCACCAUCUCCCUUUAUUUCAGCUGAAAAUUCUGCACUGGGACAGUUUAUGUGAAUAAUCUUGAUUAAGAACUGAACCUUUACUCAAGGUCCUUGUACAAACUUAGCUUUUCAUUAAGAGGGUGCUUAUUAUUUAAAGCCUCUUACACAACUGUGAAAAACUGCAGUUGCUUAAGCGACCAUUACUAACCAAGAUCCCAUACCCUCAUACCCUAAUGGGUAACAAGAGGGGUGCCAACCGAUAAGGCCCCUUCUUUGUUCUGGCCAGCUAUGCUGGGGAUCAAACUUGAGUCUUGCAUACAUUAGUAAAGCACUCUACCAUGGAGCAAUAGCUCCACCUUGUGGUUGUUUGAGAAUAAGACUCUAUGUAACCUGGGCUGGCACUUAAUUCUUGUGCUUCUUAGUCCUAGUUACUGGAACUACAAGGCAUCUUCACCACUUCUGCCUGUCAUUAUGCGCACAACUGCAUUUGUACCUCUUCCUGAGCAUCGAAUAAAGAAACUAAACUAAAUCAUUUCUUUAUUUAGUAAGACCUUUGAACUCAGAGUCAAUCUGUUCUGUUUUUAAUUUCUAGGCUGGCCUAAAAUCUAUCUUGCCCAGGCUGGCCUUGAGCUCAGGAUCAAGCCUUUACUUCACAAGUGUUGGCAUAACUGGUUUCUACCACCAUGCCUGCAGUCUCUCAGAUUGAAAAUGUGCAUAUUUCAUUUUGCUGUAGUAGUACGAAAUGGGUAAAGACCUUAACACAUUUGUAUUGCAGCAGGAGGUGCCUAACACUGAAGAUUCUUAACAUAGUGAACGUGCACAGCAUUAAAUUGUCUCAUACAUAAUUAUGUCCACAGGUGUGCCUUUAGACUCCUGUAUGGAUCAAAGCAAAGAGGCUCGCUAAGUCUAAAGAAAGUGGUCUCUUUCUUGAGUCUAUAGAAAUGAUUCUAAUAUUGACAAUGGUCCUUCACAUAAUGGAAACUAUGUGCUGUUCAUUUAAAGCCCCUUUCUUAACCUGCUAAUGUAUAUAAUGCGAGUUUCAGAAGGAUCAUUUUUACCCUCACUUUGAAGUACAGCAGUGGUGUUGACCCAUAAGGUCCAGUUUUGUGGCUUGCAGAUAGUGUCUGAUUGUAUUUCUCCUUUUCUGUUUGAUACAGAAAUCACUUCUAUGCCUUUCCCUUUCAUUAGGGAAUGCACAUUGCCAAAGAUCUUUAUGUUUGAACAGUCAAAGCAUAAAACUAUAAUGGACACAACUAUAUACCUUGAGUAUUAGUGGGCCAUAAACUGUACAUGACUAAUUCCAUUCGAAUAAGAUCCUACUCUCAGACCCUUUUGCAGUACAGCAAGGGUCAUUAAUCUCUUGGCUUUUCCAUCUUCCUGGACACUGGAUAAGAAUAUCCUCUCCUUUCCACUCCCGUUGAUUUCCAUGAGUGUCCAUUACUUUAAGGUCUUAAUAUUUGCAUAAAAGGUGUGGUUUUAAUUAACCACACCACGUCCCUUGAACAUUAAUGUACAUAAUAGGGACAUGAUUCAUUCACUUGAAUAGAAAUGUUUGGACAGUUAAUGUGCAAAAUUGCAGUUAUCCACAACUUAUUAUUAUUUUGGGGAUCAUUGUAUCUCUUUUGCACUACUGCAAGAGAUACUGUUAUUCUCACGGUCCCUGCUAGUGGACCUUUACUAUAUACAGAACUUUCCUUUCUCUUUGUCAGUAGACAAAGUCAUUCCCUUGCCUUUCAUUUGCAAUAUGGCAGGGAAUGCUGAUCAACCAAGGCUGCCUUCUUUUGGACUGUUAGUAUGUAUUAUGUUAUGUAUGAAUAUGCAUUUCCUCCUGCUCUGUGCACUAGAAAAGUAUCCCAUUCAUUUCUUUACCAGGAAGUGGAAAGUUCACAUGCACAGUAUCUAAGCAUUUCUUGUAUCAGAAACCCUCUUCCCUUGUCCUCUGCUUUAAGGCAGGAAGAGGCUUUUACGAUGUGCUCUUCUUUUGGACUCCAAUGUGCAUUAACACAGUUUGGAGUAGGAUUUUACAUCCCUGUACUCCUUUGACAUCAGAGGCAUGUUAACUAUUUUUUAGCGCUUCUCUUGUGGAUAUUAGUAUGUAUGCUUACACAUAUGGACCUAUGUAGCAGAAAGGGUUCCUAAAUUUCUACCUUUUGACUGGGGUUGCUGAGGAGUGAUAACUAUUUAUAACCUCAGCAUCUGGAUAAUUACUGUGCAAUAAUGCCAGUGGUUGAGAGUAUCGAUUAUUAGUUGGACCACUGUAUUCUCUUUGUAUACCUGAAUCAGGGAUACCAGCCCCUGAAUUGUUACUGUGCAUAUUUGUAAUUAUGAAUGACUAGAAUACGAUGUUCUCAUAUCCUCUUUGCCUUACUGGCUGCUGACUCAUCUAAAACAACUGGGACUGUUAAUGAGCACAGUGACUAUGAUCAAUGGCUUAUUUUGGGACUAUUAAUACGCACAAUGACAGCUCUUGGUUUAUUUUCUACUCUGACAUAUUUCCCAUUGGCAUUAAAAUACUGCAUAUGCCUAUGGUUUAUACACACAACAAUGACCCAUGUUUCCAUCCCUUUCACAUUGCCCCAGUAUAUCAAACCUUAAAUGGCCAGAAUCACAUACCUUAUACAGUCUUACCUCUGUCCAGCCCCUAGUUUGUCCAUGGACGACUCCUACGGACUAGUAAUUCUCACAAUCCAAUUGUUGAAAAAGGUUUUGUACCCUUUCUCCAGUUCCAUCACACUGUCCCUUCUUCUGCCCCUUUGUUGAGUCUAUUGACUUAGCAAGGCACUUCUCUCGACUUAAAGUCAACAAUCCCAGAAGCCAUCAGUUUACCCACUUCAUGUGGCUGCAAUGUCUGUUACACUCUCCUUGGUCCUACCUAUGGAACAGAAGCACCACCACUGCAUUAUUCUGUCAGUUACCCAAAGCACCCCUGUGUGACAUUAAUUGACACAGUACCAAUUGCUUGUCCCACUUUUCAACCCAUCUGUCCAAGGGCUCCCUACUACUUUAAUGUAUUUACACACGUUAAUUAUCAAAAGCGGGCCAAAACUAGGUGGAUGAACCUUCACGCUUUAGCUUGCGUCUCUUAAUUACUCCACUUGCAAUUGUGUUGGGCCAUUCUAGGGCCAGGAAUCAUUCCUGCCUGCCUUUAUUAAUGCCUUACCAUGUACAAAUAUUCCAGGCAAGUUGCUCAGGGAGCUGGAUUGGGGCUUCCUUUAUAUAGUAGCAACUGAAAACUGCCUCCCAGAGAAGGAAGAUUUAACAUUCUUCCUCCAGAAGCCGACUGCCUGCCUAAGAAGCUUCAAGCUUACUUUUCUUUGUAUAUUGCUAUUGUACAGUGCCAACUGCCAGAAAAGUUGUUGACGGAUUAUUCCUUAAGAAAGGCGUUCGGAUCGCAAGAUAGAAUUGUUAGUGUGAUCAUUAGCUUUUCUGAAGUAAAAAUAUUUAUUUAUAUUAUAUCUGAUGGCCAAGCAGUGUCUCUCAUUUUACUGAGGGUGGUGAUGGUGAGUCUGGAUAGAUCACUGUUGCUAUUUCAGUGCUAUCAAAGCAGCUAUAGAAUGGAAUGCUUAAGACUACUAUGUUGAUUUGGUCUGCAUCUACCAGUUUAAAAACUAAAGUCAAUCUUUGUGUGACUUUUAAUAAUAUCAUUAUAUUUUAGGAAAAUGACCAUAUUUUCUAAUCUUUAAAUUUGGCCAGACAUAUUAUACAUCAGCCUCUACUUAUUUUUAAAAAGGUGGCUGUGAAAGGGUUAAAUGAGAACAUACCAAGUUAACCUUGGAAAGUUCUAAGCCAUCACAUUUGAUUAAUUUAUUAUACUCACCAUUAAAUUCUGGCAAUAAUUUGAAGUAGCUUGGAAAAAGCCACCCUAGUGAAGUGGGGACUUUAACAUAAUGUUUUCCCACUUUACAUUUUAAAACAUAUGCCAAGAUUUAAUCAUUCUUUUGAGAGUACACUUCAAAGAGAUCUGCCUAGUAAGAAAAUACUUGUCUCUGCUGUUCAUGAAUGUUUUUCGUCCGCCGAGUAUUUAAGCUUUUUGUUUAAUUAGUGUGUGUUUGUGUGUGUGUGUGUGUGUGUGUGUGUGCAAGCACCGGAAAACGCCCUCACGUGAGCAUUGGAAUACCUGUACUCAUGCAUUCACAUGGUGACCAGAGAACAAUGGGAACUGGUUUUUCUAUCUUGUUGGUCCUGGAGAUCAAGCUCAAAUCAUCAGGUUUGGCAGCAGGUGCCUCUCCUACCCUUUGGGCCAUCUUGCCAGCUCGCUGCUGAGUAUUUAAUGUGACAUUGCUGAUAAAAACCGUCAUCACAACAACAGUUCUUCAAAAUUACUGAAAAAUGAUGCUAUUUUUCUAAGAAGGUUGUCAAGAAAUAAUACACCCAGUUCAGGAUCCAGGUUGAACUUUGGUUCCUCAGACAACUACAGAAGAUGCGGGAUCAUCAGGAUAUGGGUAUAACUAUCAUUGGAAUUUGUUUUGUUCCAAGGAUGAAUUUGGAGUUGGUUUUGUGCCCCGACUGAAGACAGCCUGAUUUUUAGAGAGAUGAAUGCUAGACAGCAUCCAAAGGGACAACCCCAGCAUGAGACUCAAGGACUGCCCGAAGCUCAUACAGGCUUCAAAUUCGGCAGAUCUUUCCUUUUGAGACUCUGGAAAAGCUCUAGCUAAUCUAAGGAGGCCACAUGGGAAAAAAAGACCUUCCCCCAGAAGCAUGGGCUUGUUGCUUUGCAGUGAUGGUGACCUAUUCCCUUUGACGAUCCCUAGGUGGAGAUGGGGCAUGAGGAUCUUCCAGGGGAAUAGCUCACCACCACUGGGCAACAGCCCUAGCCGGGAGAUGUUAGUGAGACACUUUGCUGACCCCUGCUAAGCAAGAUAAAGAGUCAAAGCCAGCCAGCCACUCUACAUCAAAAUAGUAUCGCUUGUAGUGGUACUGACUUCACAAGCAAACCAUUCUGUUUCAUCUGGUUCUCAAAGUCUCCCCCUGGAAGCUCCAUAGGAGAACUUUACCGGCCAUUUGCAUGCUUCAAGAUUCAUUGUGUUACUGAUGGGAUAAAAUAUACACUCCAGCUACCAAAUCAUCACCUUCCCUAAAGCAGCACCAAAGCUGGGUCUCCAGCAGGAUCAGGAAAUGUGAAUACAUGAAAGGAAGCCAAAUUUGUGACCCAAGGGCCAGCAUGGCCUCGUCUUAAAACAACAGAAUGAAUUCUGAGUGUGUAUUGUGUUGUGUGUCUAUUUUUCUUUACUGUUUGACGCAUUCAUUUUUUCCUUCCUUUGCAUGUCUAAUUCUUUGUAUCUAUUUCUUCCUUGCGUUGUGUGUCUAGUUCUUCUUCAGUGUAUCCAUUUCUUUCUUGCUCGCUUUGUGUGUCUUCCUCGCCUUGUGUGUCUUUUCUUCCUCACUUUGUCUUUCUCGUUUUGUGUCUUUCUUCCUCAAGUUGUGUGUCUUUCUUCCUCACUUUGUGUGUCUUCCUUGUGUGUCUUCCUCGAGUUGUGUGUCUUUCUUCCUCACUUUGUGUGUCUUCCUUGUGUGUCUUCCUCGAGUUGUGUGUCUUUCUUCCUCGAGUUGUGUGUCUUUCUUCCUCACUUUGUGUGUCUUCCUCGAGUUGUGUGUCUUUCUUCCUUGAGUUGUGUGUCUUUCUUCCUCACUUUGUCUUUCUCGUUGUGUGUCUUUCUUCCUCGAGUUGUGUGUCUUUCUUCCUCACUUUGUGUGUCUUCCUCGAGUUGUGUGUCUUUCUUCCUUGAGUUGUGUGUCUUUCUUCCUCACUUUGUCUUUCUCGUUUUGUGUCUUUCUUCCUCACUUUGUGUGUCUUUUUUUCCCUCGCUUUGUCUUUCUCGUUCUGUGUGCCUAUCUUCCUUGUGUUCUUUGUCCUUCUUCCUUGCUUUGUGUUUACUCUUUCUUUGAUGUGUCUUUCAUCUUGCCUUGAUGUCUCUGCCUUCCUUGAGUGUCUUUUCCUCCUUCCCUAUAGUGUGUCUUACCUAUUCCCACGUUUCUCAGCUAAUUUCUUCCUUGUAGAGCUCUGAGCUUUGUCUUGUUUUCUCCUGGUGCCUGUGUGAUCCGUGUCUUCUUGCCUUGGUUAUGUGCAGCUCUUUUGUCCUAUGUGGUUGCUAUUUCUCUUAGCUCUUCUCUCCCCCUUUCUGCCUGUCAUGGCUCCCUUAGAGUCACAUGUUGUAUUUGUCCGUCUCUGUUCCUUGUGCUCACCUCACUUGUUUUGUUUUUUCUGUGAUCUAUUUGUCAGUCCACUUUGCGAUUUUCUUCCUGCUGUUUCUAGGCUUACUGCAUGAUUCUCUUUAGCACAUCUCCUUUCUGCCUUUCCUGGGCCGCUUUCUCCCUUUCCCUUCUUUGUGGCUGUGUCUCUUUGCUGACCUCAGCAUCCAUUGCUUUGUGCUUGUGCUUCUUCCUCUUCUACUUUCCCCUUUCUAUUCACUUGGUGCAUUUCAGUCUCUUAGGAGUCUGUGUCUUCUUCCCCUCUUCCUCUAAUGCAAUCCUCCCUUGGAUAUUUCUCUGUGUGUGUGUGUGUGUGUGUGUGUGUGUGUGUCUCAUGUGUGACAGAGGGUCUUCCUAGGCCCUUCCAGCAGCAUGCUGCCAGUGGAGCUGUUCCUCAUGCCAGACUGCCCUUCGACAAAACACAGCACUCGCCCAGGACUGGCACUGACCUAAACUGGACACGUAUAAAGAAAGGUGCAAUGUGGAAGACAGAUGUUUUGUGACUUGAGACUGAAGGACCAUGGUACACAGAUGGCCUGUCUGAGCUGCCUAGAAGGCUGGAGACUUAAGCUGGAUGGACAGAAAUGGUGACAAUCCUUGAGAAGGGCUGUUUCUCCAGGACCCAUGUGAAGUCUGAGAACUGACACCUGCAUCGUAAGACACGGAACCUGAGCUAAGUCCAAGCCUAACACCUAAGGACUCAAGGCUAUUUGAACUGAAGGUCUAAAAGUUAAAGGCUAGAAGUUGAAGGCCUAUGGCCUAAAACUCUGGAGGGCUAAAACCCCAAAACCAGGAGAAAUUUAAAGAUGAGGGCCCCCCCAGCUUUUAUGUUGUUCAAGCCCAUUCUCUUGGACAUUUUCAGCACUCCCAUUUAUUUCUUAGAUUUCCAUUUAAGCCAGUUUUGCUUGAUGUACGUUUCAAUGUUGUCAUUU